AGAAGGAAGGGAAAGAGAGAACUAUUGUAUUAGUUGUAUGUGUAUAUGUGACCCUGAUUUAGCUGGCAGGUGGGGAUUGGGUAUGGAUGAUCCUGGUAGUUGGGUGAAUAAUCCUAGAUUAGCUGGGGGUGUCUGUGGGUGGCAACAGGGUCCGUUGGUUGGGGUGGGUUAGGGGGGACGGGGAUGGUGCCUUUCUAGGUUGGAAUGACAUCGUCUCCUGAAAGGACCAAACUGUGACCUUAGGGAAGGUUCAGUAUACUGGAGCCCUCCUUGACAGCAUCCUCUGGGGCUUCUUUGGUGUCCCAGGGUGAGGGGGGAAGUGCCCUGUAUCCCCGGCCUCCCAAACUGUCAAUUCGGAAAGGAAAGGAAGAUAACUGUCGGUUGCUUUUGCCAACUUUCUUUUUAUUGUUUUUCUCCCUUUCUUUUCAAUGUUUUAUUACACAAAGAUGGCUCUCUGGGGAAAGGGUGGAGGAAAGGAUGUUUUCUGGGAAAUGACUGCGCUUUAUAACAAAGGCUAAAAUGAGAUUUUAAAAAGCAAAUAGAGAAAUUUCGUUUAAUUCUCUGGAUCUUGUAUUCUGCUGAGUCACAAUGACUGACACUGAAACCGAAGCUCAGUAUAAGCAAGAAAACUUUGUCCCAGCAGAGUAGCUCUAGGCUGGCUGACUAAAGACAGCCCCUUUUAAUGUGGUUUGGGCAGAGCUCUUUGGAAUGGAAUCAAAUUCAAAGAUGGAUAGAAUUUGACUCAUUCUGUUCUCAGUCCUCAUUGUGCUCUACCCCGAGCUCCCCAAUUCCUUUUCACCUGGGCAGGCAUAUAGUCGGAGCAACCCCUCUGCCUUCAUGGACUUCUAAGAAUGGUGGGAACACAAGGCAGAUGAGGUGGUCCUGGAGUGACAAGACUAAGAUCUAUGAAAGUUAGAAAGCCACAGAACUCAGAAUGUGGAAGGAAGCUAAAGAGGGCUGUCCUGGUAGCAAGAGAUAAUGAUGAACUGUAGGGAUUGGUUCAACACAAUUUUAAAUUUUGCUAAAUCAGUGACUGAAAUGUCCUAACCCUUUGACCCAUUGGGAGGGCAGUACCCCAAGAAGAUCAGUGACAAAAAGAAAGGCUCUUUCCCAUAAAUAAAAAUCUUCACGGCACUAUUUUUAUAGUAGCAAAGAACUGGAAACAAAAUAGAUACUCAAAAUAGAUACUACUUUUUUCUAGGGGUAACCCUGAAAAUCCUUGUGGCUCCUAGUACUAUCACUCCUAAGCUUCCCAUUAUUGGUCAACCACUUGAACUCUAUUAGCUUUUACAAAUGAUAGGUACUGAGAGAGUAUCCCGCUAAUAGAGUCCCUCCAAAUAAGGGGCGUAUUCUCUCCUUGUAUGUACAAGGUCCCUGGGGAGAGUAGGCUCAAAUUUAAAGUUCAGUGGUAGAGAGUUCCACUUAAGACCAAAGGACACACUCCUGACUCUUAGCUCUAGGAGUCCUUUCUCUCCUUUCCCUGAGACUUCAUGAAGUUCCCCAUAAGUAUAGUUUUCCACUGGUGUCUGAGAAUUGGUGACUUCCUAGGUCUAGAGAGCCAGCAUUUCUCUCAAUUUGUCUUUGUAAGAUGUCAGAGAAAAAGGGUACGCACAGCACAUUUUUAAGUUUAAUCUGCAUUAUUAACAUUUUCUCCAUUAUUUUCUUAAGUCUAGACAAAUCAACAAAACAAUAAAUUGAGGCACAUCUAAAAUGGUUGGACCAUGUCCCAGUUCCACCAAGAAUGGGAAGAGGACCUUGCCAUGGUAUCAGAUGCAGUAACUGUGUGGUUUGUCACCAAAGAAUUCUUGGAGUCAGCACUUUGAGAAUAUCAACCUGAAGAGAGUUUGAUAUCACACAUCUCUCAUCUCUUCCAAUCUGGGAAGCCUGAAGAAAACUAAGAGAUUGAAGAGACUGGAUCUUUCUUCUUUCCUGCUCUGGACAAUUUUGCCUUGCCCUUCACCAAGGCAUGGGGAUUUGAUCACUCUAGUAAGAAGAGAAUCCCAUAACAAUGAGUUUAAGGUUGCAUAUAAAGGUUACCUAUAAGUUUUAUGCUUACAUAUAAAAUCCUUUGGCAUUUAAAGCCCUUCAUAACCUGGUCUCUUUCUGUCUUUCUCAAUAGUGUUUUAUUUUUCC